rnacentral:rRNA from 1 species
AGUGGCGGGCUUGCUAUACAUGCAGUCGAGCGGACAGAUGGGAGCUUGCUCCCUGAUGUUAGCGGCGGACGGGUGAGUAACACGUGGGUAACCUGCCUGUAAGACUGGGAUAACUCCGGGAAACCGGGGCUAAUACCGGAUGGUUGUUUGAACCGCAUGGUUCAGACAUAAAAGGUGGCUUCGGCUACCACUUACAGAUGGACCCGCGGCGCAUAGCUAGUUGGUGAGGUAACGGCUCACCAAGGCGACAUCGUAGCCAACCUGAGAGGGUGAUCGGCCACACUGGGACUGAGACACGGCCCAACUCCUACGGAGGCAGCAGUAGGGAAUCUUCCGCAUGGACGAAGUCUGACGGAGCAACGCCCGAGAGUGAUGAAGGUUUUCGGAUCGUAAGCUCUUUGUUAGGGAAGAACAAGUGCCGUUCAAAUAGGGCGGCACCUUGACGUACCUAACCAGAAUGCCACGGCUAACUACGUGCCAGCAGCCGCGGUAAUACGUAGGUGGCAGCGUUGUCCGGAAUUAUGGGCGUAAAGGGCUCGCAGCGUUUCUUAAGUCUGAUGUGAAAGCCCCCCGGCUCACCCGGGGAGGGUCAUUGGAAACUGGGGAACUUGAGUGCAGAAGAGGAGAGUGGAAUUCCACGUGUAGCGUUGAAAUGCGUAGAGCUCUGGAGGAACACCAGUGGCGAAGGCGACUCUCUCGUCUGUAACUGACGCUCAGGAGCGAACGCAUGGUGAGCGAACAGGAUUAGAUACCCUGGAUAGUCAACGCCGUAAACGAUCGAGUGCUUAUUCGUUAAGAGGGUUUCCGCACCCUUACGGCUGCAGGCUGAAAGCUCACUAUCUACUCGCCUGAGUUAGUACUGUCGCAUGACCGAAACUCUAACG